GUCUCUAAUGAUGUGUACUUUUUCAAACUUUCGUUCUUCUGAGAUAAUUACCUUGCGGAAAUUAGUGAUCUGAACUGAAGAGAC